rnacentral:rRNA from 1 species
UACGAAGGUCCCGAGCGUUAUCCGGAUUUAUUGGGCUUAAAGGGUGCGUAGGCGGGUUAUUAAGUCAGUGGUGAAAGCCUUCAGCUUAACUGAAGAAUUGCCAUUGAUACUGAUGAUCUUGAGUAUGAUUGAGGUGGGCGGAAUGUGUCAUGUAGCGGUGAAAUGCUUAGAUAUGACACAGAACACCGAUUGCGAAGGCAGCUCACUAAGCCAUAACUGACGCUGAUGCACGAAAGCUAGGGGAGCGAACGGG